rnacentral:lncRNA from 1 species
CAGCAGGAAUGUGCUCGAGGGACCCCUUAUUGAAGGGGUGCACAACAAAACAUAUAGAGUGCAUUCGGAGGAGAGUGAGACCAGAGAGAGAGAAGAAUUGAAAACAUCCUGCCUGGACUAUGAUUGGAGGAAAUGAAACUUUCUUUAAAGUCCAGUGAUCUACUACGAGAAGAACAUAUCCUUGUCGGCCACUGGUCCAAGGAGAGUGAAACAUAUGUGAAGCUGACUUGCAUCCAACCUACAAUCUGGAGUAGUCACCAAGGUGAGUCAGGCUAGAACAGUUGUGUUCUAGCCAUCAACAGACCUAU